rnacentral:rRNA from 2 species
GGCGAACGGGUGAGUAACACGUGAGUAACCUGCCUCAUCUCUGGGAUAACAGUCGGAAACGGUUGCUAAUACUGGAUAUGAGCUUUCAAGGCAUCUUGUUGGUGGAAAGAUUAUUUUUGGUUGGGGAUGGACUCGCGGCCUAUCAGCUUGUUGGUGAGGUAGUGGCUCACCAAGGCUUCGACGGGUAGCCGGCCUGAGAGGGCGACCGGCCACAUUGGGACUGAGAUACGGCCCAAAUUCCUACGGGAGGCAGCAGUGGGGAAUAUUGCACAAUGGACGGAAGUCUGAUGCAGCAACCCCGCGUGCGGGAUGACCGGCUUCGGGUUGUAAACCGCUUUCAAUUGUGACGAAGCUUUUUGUGACG